rnacentral:rRNA from 1 species
UACGUAGGUGGCGAGCGUUACUCGGAAUUACUAGGUGUAAAGCGCUUGCAGGUGGUUGGAUAAGUCUGUAGUGAAAUUUCCCGGCUCAACUGGGAAGGGUCUACGGAAACUAUCCGGCUUGAGUGUGGGAGGGGUGGACGGAAUUCCUGGUGUAGCGGUGAAAUGCGUAGAUAUCAGGAGGAACACCGAUGGCGAAAGCGGUCCACUGGCCCAAUACUGACACUGAGGAGCGAAAGCUAGGGGAGCAAACAGG